rnacentral:rRNA from 1 species
AUUGAACGCUGGCGGCAGGCCUAACACAUGCACGUCGAGCGAGCGGCGGACGGGUGAGUAAUGUAUGGGGAUCUGCCCGAUUGCGGGGGAUCACUACUGGAAACGGUGGCUACUACCGCAUACUAUCGGAUGUACCCAUAUGGGAUUAGCUAGUAGGUGGUGUAAAGGCUCACCUAGGUCACUAUCGCUAGCUUGUCUGAGAGGAUGAUCAGGCACACUGUGACUGAUAAACGGCCCAGACGCCUACGGGAGGCAGAAGUGGGGAAUAUUGCACAAUGGGCGCAAGCCUGAUGCAGCCAUGCCGCGUGUAUGAAGAAGGCCUUAGGGUUGUAAAGUACUUUCAGCGGGGAGGCGUUACCCGCAGAAGAAGCACCGGCUAACUCCGUGCCAGCAGCCGCGGUAAUUC